rnacentral:rRNA from 1 species
AAACGUAGGGGGCGAGCGUUGUCAGGAAUUACUGGGCGUAAAGGGCGCGUAGGCGGUUUCUUAAGUCUCGAGGUGAAAUCUAUCGGCUUAACCGGUAGCCUGCCUGAGAAACUGGGAGACUUGAGGGCAGGAGAGGGGAGUGGAAUUCCCAGUGUAGCGGUGAAAUGCGUAGAUAUUGGGAGGAACACCGGUGGCGAAGGCGGCUCUCUGGCCUGUUACUGACGCUGAGGCGCGAAAGCGUGGGGAGCGAACGGGAUUAGAUACCCCGGUAGUCCACGCCGUAAACGAUGGGUGCUAGGUGUAGGAGGUAUCGACCCCUUCUGUGCCGUAGUUAACACAAUAAGCACCCCGCCUGGGGAGUACGGCCGCAAGGUUGAA